AGUGAACGCUGGCGGUAGGCCUAACACAUGCAAGUCGAACGGCAGCACAGGAGAGCUUGCUCUCUGGGUGGCGAGUGGCGGACGGGUGAGGAAUACAUCGGAAUCUACUCUGUCGUGGGGGAUAACGUAGGGAAACUUACGCUAAUACCGCAUACGACCUACGGGUGAAAGCAGGGGACCUUCGGGCCUUGCGCGAUUGAAUGAGCCGAUGUCGGAUUAGCUAGUUGGCGGGGUAAAGGCCCACCAAGGCGACGAUCCGUAGCUGGUCUGAGAGGAGGAUCAGCCAGAAUGGAACUGAGGCACGGUCCAGACUCCUACGGGAGGCAGCAGUGGGGAAUAUUGGACAAUGGGCUCAAGCCUGAUCCAGCCAUACCGCGUGUGUGAUGAAGGCCUUCGGGUUGUAAAGCCCUUUUGUUGGGAAAGAAAUCCAGCUGGCUAAUACCCGGUUGGGAUGACGGUACCCAAAGAAUAAGCACCGGCUAACUUCGUGCCAGCCGCCGCGGUAA
rnacentral:rRNA from 1 species